rnacentral:lncRNA from 1 species
ACUAUUGAAAAUAAAAGGUUAUGGUUAUAUGGAAAGGCACACUAUGUGUGAACAUUCCCCAGUGUCCGAUGUAAUUCUAGAUGGUUCAAUAGGUAUGUAAUAACCUAAUUUUGCCUGGCCCAUAUCAAAUAAAUAAACAAAAAAAUAUAUAAAAAAUAAAAAUAAAAACAAAAUUAUUAAAAGUCCAUCAAUCCAGCAAACCCAAAAUACAAGCUAAGUCCAUUUACAGAUAGCCCAAUAACCCAAACAGAUCCCAAAUACCCACUUAACCUAGCCCAAACCAAAACCCAAUUAACCUAGCCCAG